rnacentral:rRNA from 1 species
GCCCUAGUAACGGCGAGUGAAGCGGCAACAGCUCAAAUUUGAAAUCUGGCGCAAGCCCGAGUUGUAAUUUGUAGAGGAUGCUUCUGGGCAGCGGCCGUUCUAAGUUCCUUGGAACAGGACGUCAUAGAGGGUGAGAAUCCCGUAUGUGACCGGCGCGCACCCUCCACGUAGCUCCUUCGACGAGUCGAGUUGUUUGGGAAUGCAGCUCUAAAUGGGUGGUAAAUUCCAUCUAAAGCUAAAUAUUGGCCAGAGACCGAUAGCGCACAAGUAGAGUGAUCGAAAGAUGAAAAGCACUUUGGAAAGAGAGUUAAAAAGCACGUGAAAUUGUUGAAAGGGAAGCGCUUACAACCAGACUCCGCGGCGGUGUUCCGCCGGUCUUCUGACCGGUCUACUCGCCGCCGUGGGGCCAACAUCGUCUGGGGCCGCCGGAUAAGACCGUAGGAAUGUAGCUCAUUGAGUGUUAUAGCCUGCGGUGAUGCGGCGCGUCCCGGGCGAGGUCCGCGCUUCGGCAAGGAUGUUGGCGUAAUGGUUGUCAGCGGCCCGUCUUGAAACACGGACCAAGGAGUCUAACAUCUAUGCGAGUGUUCGGGUGUCAAACCCCUACGCGUAAUGAAAGUGAACGGAGGUGGGAAGCUUCGGCUGCACCAUCGACCGAUCCUGAUGUCCUCGGAUGGAUUUGAGUAAGAGCAUAGCUGUUGGGACCCGAAAGAUGGUGAACUAUGCCUGAAUAGGGUGAAGCCAGAGGAAACUCUGGUGGAGGCUCGCAGCGGUUCUGACGUGCAAAUCGAUCGUCAAAUUUGGGUAUAGGGG